GCUAGCCUUGCCGGAUCAGAAGAGAUUUGACCCUGCAUGCUAGUCUUAGUAUCAGUGCUUCGAUGAAUGCUCCCCGUCGUGGCUUUCCCCGACUGCCCGAGCCCCCUCACUCACGCAAGAGUUUUCAACUUGCCAAGGACGAAUAUGAUGCACACUUUACUGUGUACUGUAGUGAGUACGUAGUGACACUCUGACACACCUCCGGCUCCGGGCGGCUCCUGGCGAUUGAUAAAAGGGGCGCCUCUCCUCUCUGCUGUUUUCACAGUCAAAAGCCCCCAACUUAAUCGAGCCUCAUCAUUAUUCUAUCCACCGGCACCACGGUCGCCGUUGCCGGUCGUCAGCAGCAGGAGCGCGCGGAGCUGAGCUGCUCCCUGCGGUGCCGAGGAGCACGAGGAGGAGCUGCUGAUCGAUUCAGGAAACUUUCAGACGCGACCUCGCUCAGAUCCACACCGUAUUAUACUAGUACUGUAAUUGCGGCAGAGCUAGUGCCAGAUCUGCUACAAUGAAGAAAAAGAAACCUCCAGACCCCGAGUGCGAGUCCAUAUAUUCGGAAUGGACGGAAUAGGAAAUCGGGUCAGUAUUUCUCUUAAGACUUUUUUCUUUGUAUAGUAUUUUUUCACUCAAUGCGAUAUACACGUACGCACUCAGCUCUACGUACGGCUACCACACGGAGGGACGAGUGGACGAUGAUACGCCUAUAUAUACGUCCUCAUUUGUGCGUACGUAGAUCAGCCAAUAGGUAACACAACACUACGAGACGAGCCCUCACUCAUUUGUGCGUAUAGCGGCCAUACAAUAGUAAGUUCUGCAAGAUGGCGGCGCCAGUUUUGGUUGGUCGUGGAGCCCACGGAAUACCAAAAGUGAACGAUAUACUUAUAUAUCUUUUAUGUCUUUGAGUGACAAGAAAAAAUAUUCCAUCUUCUUGGAAAUCUAACCCUCCAUACUGUUUUUGUUUGAAGCGUUCACGCCUCGGUAGGCCCUACAUGCAGCGGCUAACGGACAACCAGUACUACGCCAUCAUGGCCAAUCAUCACCGCUACCAGAUUUUGCAUUCUCCAUACUUAGAUGUAUGCUAAUUUUUUUAAAUAAUACGAUUUUUUUAAUUAUUUUUAAAAAUAAUAGGUGUUUUUAAAAAAAUUCAAAAAUCAUAUGGCCUCGGCCUGGCCCAGGCCGAAUGGACCCAAUCGGUCUGGCCCAAGCCGAUUAGGCCCAGUUGGCAUCGGCCAGGCCGACUGUAGGCCGGUUGCUCAGCGCGCGGGGCCCCCACGAGGCGCUCGGCUUGGUCCAGACCGACUGAGCCCAGUCGGCCUCGCCUUGGCCGACAGGCCAGUCGGCCUAGCCGUGGCCGAAAGACACCUGGUGGGCCGCCGGCGGAAUCUUCUCUUUUUUUUUCCCUUUCCCUUCCUCCCUUCCCAUCCCGUGCGCGAGCCCAGCCAGACGCCCCCGAGCCCCUUCUUCUUCCUGCUCGUGUUCUUCUCUGUUCUUCCUUUUCUCCUCAAAUGCCCCCAUUUUCUAGCCCAAAUUACUGCAUCUUGAUCCCAUUUAACCCACAAAAUCGCAUCCACUACCUAGUUGGCACCCAAAGACAUCUCGAUCUACUGUUUUCAUAGGCCAUGUAGAGUUAAUUUUGUGGUGCAAACUUGGAGCAAUGGUGGUGGUUUGGAGGAGUUUGGAGGUGGUGGUGGUGCUCAUCCGGUGACUGUGAGGCUGCUCGAGGUUGAGGUUCACACGCUUCAAGGGUACAAAAUGGAGAGAGUAUCAUUGCUAUC